UCCCUAUAGCUCUGAUGGUAAAGAAUCUGCCUGCAGUGCAGAAGACCCAGGUUCAAUGCCUGGAUCAGGAU
rfam:TPA: Bos taurus chromosome 4, whole genome shotgun sequence.